rnacentral:lncRNA from 1 species
UCCCUCUGUCAAAACUUGGCCCCGAAGGAGCUCUCAUGGGGCUUUCCUACAUGUACUCGCCCGAUUGACAAAGACUCAUUGACAGACUUGCGGGCUAUUGAGGUCGCCUUGGUCCACCCAUCACAUCAUAUACAUAGCACAUUAUGCAAUGCAUCACCUUCGUGAAACUAGUGCAAUCAUCCUAUAACAUAUAAACAUGGUGCAUGGGCAUGGUGAACUAGUGCAAACAUCCUAUUACAUAACAUGAUGUAUGAGUAUGCUUUAGGCAUUAGAUUUUCUUUUAAAGUAAAAGAUUUGGUUUAGUUCUACUCACCUGAAGCCUCUGCUCAACAAACUCAGGGUCAACUAGCACUGAAGCUAAACACCUCUCCUCAGGUCCAAUCCUACACAGAUGGACUCACAUGAGGUACUAAACACACUCUAACAAUUCAUAAGAAACUCCCCCAAAAACCCCUCUAAACAUCAUAGAAACAUGCAUAGAAAACAGCCAUGAAAAGGCUGGACAGGCACUUUCGGCGGCACCUUCGGCGGCCGAAAGUCUCCUCCAGAGACGAAACUCGGGUAGGUUCGGCGGCACCUUCGGCGGCCGAACCCUCUCUCCAGAAAUGAAAGUCAGGCACUUUCGGCGGCCGAACAUUACCUUCGGCGGCCGAAAGUCUGCUUUUAAGCCACAACUCAACUUUCGGGGGCAAGGUUAGGCGGCCAAACCAUGCAUCCAUAGGCAUGUUCGGCGGCCGAAACCACCUUCGGCGGCCGAACCUGAGUUCAGCAGAACUCAGCCUUUGCACACCAGCCUCCAAAACCUUCCAAAACACCCCAAACCUCACAUACUCUCUCCCAAGCAUGCAUACACACUCCCACAAGCAUAGAGAGCAAAGAAACUAGCUUAAACUCCUCAACACAACAUCACAUAACAUACAUUGGGCAUAAAACCCACAUAAACCCUUAACAUGCAUAUCUACCCAUUCCAACAUAAAACCUUCAUAAAACUUACUUAAAACUUCAUUAAAACUCAAGGGAAACCAAGAUCUACACUUACCUCUUGAAGAUCGAGGGUUGGUGCGAUCCCUAACUCGGAGGUGUGGAGAAUCCAAGCUCCAAAAGCUCCAAGCUCCCAAAACUUCUA